UGUUGACCUCGGAUCAGGUAGGAAUACCCGCUGAACUUAAGCAUAUCAAUAAGGCGGAGGA
rnacentral:rRNA from 1 species